UACGGAGGGUGCAAGCGUUGUCCGGAAUCACUGGGCGUAAAGGGCGCGUAGGCGGCCCGGUAAGUAGGGGGUGAAAUCCUGCGGCUUAACCGCAGGGCUGCCUUCUAAACUGUCGGGCUCGAGCACGGUAGAGGCAGAUGGAAUUCCCGGUGUAGCGGUGGAAUGCGUAGAGAUCGGGAUGAACAUCAGUGGCGAAGGCGGUCUGCUGGGCCGUUGCUGACGCUGAGGCGCGACAGCGUGGGGAGCAAACAGG
rnacentral:rRNA from 1 species